CCUACGGGAGGCAGCAGUAGGGAAUCUUCCACAAUGGGCGCAAGCCUGAUGGAGCAACACCGCGUGAGUGAAGAAGGGUUUCGGCUCGUAAAGCUCUGUUGUUGGAGAAGAACGUGCGUGAGAGUAACUGUUCACGCAGUGACGGUAUCCAACCAGAAAGUCACGGCUAACUACGUGCCAGCAGCCGCGGUAAUACGUAGGUGGCAAGCGUUAUCCGGAUUUAUUGGGCGUAAAGCGAGCGCAGGCGGUUGCUUAGGUCUGAUGUGAAAGCCUUCGGCUUAACCGAAGAAGUGCAUCGGAAACUGGGCAACUUGAGUGCAGAAGAGGAGAGUGGAACUCGAUGUGUAGCGGUGGAAUGCGUAGAUAUAUGGAAGAACACCAGUGGCGAAGGCGGCUGUCUGGUCUGCAACUGACGCUGAGGCACGAAAGCAUGGGUAGCGAACAGGAUUAGAUACCCGAGUAGUC
rnacentral:rRNA from 1 species